GAUGAACGCUGGCGGCGUGCUUAACACAUGCAAGUCGAACGGUGAAGGCGGAGCUUGCUCUGCUGGAUCAGUGGCGAACGGGUGAGUAACACGUGAGCAAUCUGCCCCUGACUCUGGGAUAAGCGCUGGAAACGGCGUCUAAUACUGGAUACGAGCUGCGAAGGCAUCUUCAGCAGCUGGAAAGAAUUUCGGUCAGGGAUGAGCUCGCGGCCUAUCAGCUUGUUGGUGAGGUAAUGGCUCACCAAGGCGUCGACGGGUAGCCGGCCUGAGAGGGUGACCGGCCACACUGGGACUGAGACACGGCCCAGACUCCUACGGGAGGCAGCAGUGGGGAAUAUUGCACAAUGGGGGAAAGCCUGAUGCAGCAACGCCGCGUGAGGGACGACGGCCUUCGGGUUGUAAAACUCUUUUAGCAGGGAAGAAGCGAAAGUGACGGUACCUGCAGAAAAAGCGCCGGCUAACUACGUG
rnacentral:rRNA from 1 species